GAUGCAAAUACAGCAGAUCACUCAAGGGAUGCUGAAACAUUAUUUGGUAUUCAAACAACUCUGGAAAAGUAUGAACAUCCAAUUUUGAAAAUGAACUAACGAAUACUGAUUAUAAUGAAUUUAUGCAAAUUACAUAUUGCAAUACAGCAGACAAUGAAAGCCAUGGUGAGACAUGAAUUCGCGAUUCUAUCAGUUUGGAAAAUAUAAACAUCCUAUGUUGAAAAUGGACUAGAAGAUACUGAUAAUAAUAAUUGUUUUAUUCAACAUGCAAAUACAGCAGAUCACUCAAGGGAUGCUGAAACAUUAUUUGGUAUUCAAACAACUCUGGAAAAGUAUGAACAUCCAAUUUUGAAAAUGAACUAACGAAUACUGAUUAUAAAGAAUUUAUGCAAUAUGCAAAUACAGCAGAUCACUCAAGGGAUGCUGAAACAUUUUUUGGUAUUCAAACAACUCUGGAAAAGUAUGAACAUCCAAUUUUGAAAAUGAACUAAAAGAUACUGAUUAUAAAGAAUUUAUGCAAUGUACGUGUAAUGGUUAUUAGGUAUAGUUGAUAGAAAAUUAAUAGCAAUGUAACUAAAAGUUACUCAAAUGCUUCCCUGACCAUAAUAUUAAGAA